AUUGAACGCUGGCGGCAGGCCUAACACAUGCAAGUCGAACGAGUGGCGGACGGGCGAGCGAUGGCUGGGAAACUGCCUGACGGAGGGGGAUAACUGCUGGAAAAGGUAGCUAAUACCGCAUACCAUCAGAUGUGCCCAGAUGGGAUGAGCUAGUUGGUGGGGUAUCGGCACACCAAGGCGACGAUCCCUAGCUGGUCUGAGAGGAUGACCAGCCACACUGGAACUGAGACACGGUCCAGACUCCUACGGGAGGCAGCAGUGGGGAAUAUUGCACAAUGGGCGCAAGCCUGAUGCAGCCAUGCCGCGUGUAUGAAGAAGGCCUUCGGGUUGUAAAGUACUUUCAGCGGGGAGGCGUUACCCGCAGAAGAAGCACCGGCUAACUCCGUGCCAGCAGCCGCGGUAAUAC
rnacentral:rRNA from 1 species